AUCAUGGGCUAUGUAGUUCAUGAGCAUGAUGAUUGGGUGUUCACGCUGCUGCAUGACAUGUGCCUCCCUCACAAACCUUGUUACGACAUCGGCACAUUACCUGUCUGACG
ensembl:snoRNA